rnacentral:rRNA from 1 species
UGGAUCCAGACUUUGAUCCUGGCUCAGGAUGAACGCUAGCUACAGGCUUAACACAUGCAAGUCGAGGGGAAACGACAUCGAAAGCUUGCUUUUGAUGGGCGUCGACCGGCGCACGGGUGAGUAACGCGUAUCCAACCUGCCCACCACUUGGGGAUAACCUUGCGAAAGUAAGACUAAUACCCAAUGAUAUCUCUAGAAGACAUCUGAAAGGGAUUAAAGAUUUAUCGGUGAUGGAUGGGGAUGCGUCUGAUUAGCUUGUUGGCGGGGUAACGGCCCACCAAGGCGACGAUCAGUAGGGGUUCUGAGAGGAAGGUCCCCCACAUUGGAACUGAGACACGGUCCAAACUCCUACGGGAGGCAGCAGUGAGGAAUAUUGGUCAAUGGGCGAGAGCCUGAACCAGCCAAGUAGCGUGCAGGAUGACGGCCCUAUGGGUUGUAAACUGCUUUUAUAAGGGAAUAAAGUGAGCCUCGUGAGGCUUUUUGCAUGUACCUUAUGAAUAAGGACCGGCUAAUUCCGUGCCAGCAGCCGCGGUAAUACGGAAGGUCCGGGCGUUAUCCGGAUUUAUUGGGUUUAAAGGGAGCGUAGGCCGGAGAUUAAGCGUGUUGUGAAAUGUAGAUGCUCAACAUCUGCACUGCAGCGCGAACUGGUUUCCUUGAGUACGCACAAAGUGGGCGGAAUUCGUGGUGUAGCGGUGAAAUGCUUAGAUAUCACGAAGAACUCCGAUUGCGAAGGCAGCUCACUGGAGCGCAACUGACGCUGAAGCUCGAAAGUGCGGGUAUCGAACAGGAUUAGAUACCCUGGUAGUCCGCACGGUAAACGAUGGAUGCCCGCUGUUGGUCUGAAUAGGUCAGCGGCCAAGCGAAAGCAUUAAGCAUCCCACCUGGGGAGUACGCCGGCAACGGUGCAACUCAAAUGAAUUGACGGA